AUUCAUCCCUUAGGUUGAUGUGCCAAAGUCUUGAUCACGGGCUGUAACAAAUAAAGGAGACAUUGCUCGUUGCUUACCUGUGCCUGUUGCAUUCCCAUGUUAUCUGUGCAUCCAUUUUUCCUUCCUCCUGACCAACAGAACCUGUUUUAAACUGAGUCCAUUGUUCAACAGCUAAAGAGUUCCGUCCUCUCCUGCGUCAGGAUGUGAUCAUGUGACUGGGUGACCAGCUGUUCCUGUUUGGCUGGUUCGGAGGGGCUUUCAGGGCCGAGAGACUUUCUGUAGUAAGACUGGGAAAAUUCUGGCAUACUUGGAUGAAUUCGUGACUUCACAUCUGAGUGACUUCUAGCUGCUGGUCCAUGAAAGAAAUGUCCUGUGAGGCACAGCUCUCUCUUUAAAAGAGAGCGGGCAUGCCCUCUUCCUCCUGCCCGAACAGGUUAUUGGAGCUCCAGCUGCGUCUUGGAACUUGAGUUGACCUUGAGGAAGGAGAGCGAGAAAACGAGGUAACCCACAUCUGAUGACUGGGACAAAGGUGCACUGCCUAAAUCUGGGACAUCUUCGAGGAGCCAUCCCUGCUCCAGAGGUCCCCAAAGGAUUGGCUUCCACCUCUGCUGAUCAGCAUCGCAGUUCAGUCUCCGCCUCAUCUUCCCCAUUUGCUCGGGGUUUUUGUAUCGAGCACUACCUAACAAGGUUGCUGCACGCAUAUCUCCAUCUUAGGAUGGAGCCAGAGAACUUGACCUAAGGCAAUUUGUUAUCCAACUGUCUUCUGACUUGUCUUCGUGUCUGAAAGUUCCUGGCUGUGCUGGUGACACACGAUGAACACGAUGGGCUAGGGACGACUGUAUGGACGUCAUGGACAAAGGCAGGGAAGGAGCCGCCUGUACCCCUCGUCACUUCUGUGGUCUUCACUCUCCCAUCCAGGACUGCUUUUUCCCACCCAUGGGACCUCCCCAUCCACAUUCUUUCCUUACACACGGCAAGAGGUGAGCUUCUUGGGAAUGAAAAGCUGAUGUUUCUCCGUCACAUGAACGCCUUUUGGUGGAAACGCCCUUCUGACGCUGCUCGCAGUCCUGCUCCUUCCUACCGCGCUUUGCAUUUAUAAAUCGGGCUUGGUUUGUUCGUGAUCAUCUGCCUGCCUUCCGCAGGAGACAGAGCCAGGCUCAUUAUGUCAAAAUAAUGUUUGCUGCUUAAAACUUCUCGCAAAGAACCUCCCUGAGCUCUUCAGGGGAAAGAUACUAUAUAAAUCUAAUAAAGAAUGAAUACAUAAAUGAUAAGAGUCUGGUCAAGGCUGAUUAUA